UGCGCGGUAUCUCAACUGGCAGAGAACCUGACUGUUAAUCAGGGUCAUGCGGGUUCGAAUCCCGCCUGCGCAGCCA
rnacentral:tRNA from 1 species